CAGCUCAGACCUGCCCGCGCCCCUCCUCGCCCUCGCAGUGCAUGCCGGUCUUGUGCUUGGAGUCGCCAUUUUGCCGCUAGAGAUGCUGUCUGAAGACCAGUGCUCUCUUCCUUCAGCGGCCUAGGCUGCAUCCGGGCCUGAGCUGGGGUCUGGGCCAGGGCAUGAAAGUUCUCAAAUGUUCUGACGUGGACCUGGAAUGCAGCUCCCCAAGCAGCAGACAUGUAGUUCUUGAACAGACUGCCUGGACCAUGGUCUGAGCCAUGGACAAUUUGCUAUUCUCAAGAUUUCCUGUACUGAACAAACCCUGAAGUCCACAGAGUGAAUCUCUGAUCUCCUUUCCGAUGAACAGAACUGCAUCGACCAAGUGUUGGUCACUGAGUGGCAUGGAAGAUCAUCCAUCAGAAUUAUCACAGCCUCUACAGCAGGUCUUCAUGGGGCCACAGCUAACUGCUUGGGAUGGAUCCCCCAUUUCAUCCUCAGUGACCCUAAGCUCUCAAUCCACUGAGUCCCAACCCGUUUGGCACUAUAAACUAGGGCAGAGUGAGGCCCUUGCAUAGGGCCAAGACCUGAAUCCACAGGUGACCAAUUCCCACUGGGCUGCUAAGGGCUCACAAAAUGACCUGCCUGCAGUGUUCCCACCUCCUAACCUGCCCCGUGUAAACACCUGUCCUGCUCCACAGCUGUGGUGCAUCCACAUGGGGAAGUUGAGAUCUGCACCUGGAUGGAAGACAUUCAGUCAGUAUUGGCUGUGUAACAGACUGACCUUUUCAAAGGCAUCCCUCCAUCCUCCUCUUAUACACACUUCUCCUCUCAAGAGCACACAUCUAGGCUUGUGCUAGCCCUGGCUGGACUGGGAGCUGCUCUGCACUCCCCGAGACAUUUUGACAAAGAGAGAAUCCAGUACCCACAGGUAUGGAUGAUUUGUUGUCACCCACAAAAAAACUAGAACCAAAAUGUGUUGUCCUUGAUUCACAACGCGGGACUGAGCCUACCAGGAAUUCUAUUCUCGGCUCUAAGCUCUAGAGUUCUCUUCAGGACAUGGUGGUCAGAACUGGGGGAUCAAGAUCAAUCUGAUUAUAGAGCAGCCCAGGACCUGACCUAAGCUUUGGGUCCCUGUGUGAUGCAUAUAUUUUUGGUUAUGUCGGGAGACAAAUGCAGAAGCUCCUGUCUGGCAGAAUCCAGGUAGACACAGUAACUUUGAAAUUACACCUGUGAUAUUGGCAGAAUUGUAUUUGCUCAGGGAACAAAUGCUGGGUGCACCAGACCGUGAAGCAGGACCCUAAGAUCUGUACUACACUUUGGAAUAAAGACAAAUAAGUGUGCCCCAGCCCAAAUGUGUCUGCGUUCAAAUUCCUGCCGCCUGAGUUCAUGCAUUUCGGUCCUGUCCUAAGAGCAAUGAAUGGUAUUAUGAGGUGUGGCAGUGUGGUCAGCCUUCUAAUGGCAUGGCUAUGGGUCCGUCAGGACGUGGACAGCACCUGAACAAGAGAGAGGCCCAAAGCUCACUUGUGUACAACGUGAUGCUGUCCCAUGACCAGCCUCAGGUUAUGGCCACCAUCAGCUCUUCUUUUGUUUUGGCCACCUAGUUGCAGGGCUUCCAUUGUGUUCUCUCUGUUCUUGCUCACUGUCUCCUGAAUCACAGCAGAAUUGACUCUCCAAGAUUCCAGUUGCACAGUGAGGUUGUAGGCCAGUGUACUGGUGUGAGGCAAGCACCUAUGCCAUCAGCAAUAGGGCUGCUGUGUUGUGAAAAGCUGUGGAGUGUGGCAAGAACCCUAUGUAUUUUGAUCCGCACCACAUGGAUGCUGGCAUCAUGAUGUACAGAGCAAGAUUCCUGCCACUCAGGUGUCAUUUUUUACUAUAACUUUCCUUCCCAUGAUCAGUUACUCUGAAGCUGUGUACCAGAUAAAUAUAUGUUGAAGGCCCUGCUAAGCAUCUCUACCCAGAUUGCCUGGCAGCAGCUCAGCCUUCAAAGCUAGGUGGGAGAGGCAGGGAAGGAGACGGAGGAGGACAAGCAGCUUUGUCCUCCUAGACAGCAGCUACAGAGGAGCAGGGGGAACCUUCAGCUCUCACUGUUAUACCCACUUCUGAGCCUGUAUCCUGUGGUCAGAGAGGAGACAGCAGUUUUGAUAACUUUGCUAGAAAUCAGGGAUCUGAACAGAGCUGCAAAGGCAGGACAUUGUAGCCAGACUGAGGGCUCCUCCAGAAGAUUUGCCUGCCUUUCGUUUUUGCUUUUUGUUCCAUGACUCAGUCAUCACCAGCUAUUGGCAGUGUGGAUUCACUUGUCUCCCCAAGAGUGCACUGCUUCUGGGGAUCUGGGGAAGUCAGCACACAGUGAGAUCUCCAUGUGUCUCUGUUAGGUUGUGCAUAGAACAAAGUAUAAAAGUGCAUGUUCCAAUGAUAGGAUGAUUGGUCCCAGAAACUCCAUUAGUAAGGUCUUAACUUGAGGACAGUUAAUGCUUUGUCCUUGAGCCUGCAUCUGCCUGAAGGACCCCUUGCUUGAUGCCUGGAGGGUGUCCUUCCUGUGUGAGAUUUAUCAUUAGUUGUUCUUUUUUUCACCACAAGUAAGAAGUGGAUUUUUUCUGUUUAUUUUGUUGGUUAUUUAUGAUAUAUUUUUUACUAGAACUUCCUUGCAGUGUAUAUUGAUUACACUGAGGAUAGACACAUGGUUUAUUUAUUAUGCAGAAUUCAUAUUAGAUCCUAUGUGAUGCAUGAUAGUGAAACCCAUCAACUAGAGACUUUUCUCUAAAUUUUUUACAUUGAUCACCCAGAAUUGAAAAAAAGUGGAAAAGUUUACAGAGAAAAUCUUUCAGAUACAAGAACGUACUUUAAGUCAAAUAUAUUAGAGAACACACAAAUAAAAGAAUAGAUGAACAUAGGAAAACAAUGAAAAACAAAGGUUUACCAACAUAGCAAAGAAAUGGAAACAUGAAAGAGAUCCAAAUAAGAGUUCAACAAGUUCAGUGCUAUAUAAGAGAUAUAUAAAACCUGUAAGAGAUUAAAAUUAUAUGCACAGACUGAAAAAAAGAGAGGUUUGGAAUUUCAGAUCUUGAAGACAAAAUUGUAGCUAGUUGUCAUGAAAACAGUUCUAUCUAAAAAGUAGCAAGUGACUAUGAGAAAUCAAUCCAGCAGGUAGAAAAUACAUCAAAGAAGAAUUGCAUGACAUUGAUUGUGGUCAAUGAGAAAUCCGGAGACAGCACAAAUACCAUAAAAAACUUCACAAUAUAAUGGAAUAAAACUUCCCAAGCAUGAAUAAAGAAUUUUCCAUACACAAUUGAAGUAUAGAACUCCAAACAGACAUAACCAAAAUAACACUACAGCAAGAUAUAUAAUAUCCAAGAUUCCAGAAAUACAGCACAAGGACACAUUAUAAAAUGUGGUUAGGGUGAAGUCACAGAUCACUUAUAAUUGAAAGCACAUCAAAUUCUUAGCACUCUUUGUUGUAGCUUGACAUAACUGGCAUCGUCUUGACCCUGCUUUCAACUGGUGCCCUAUAUUUAAACCAAGAGAAUGGAAAAUUACUCAGAGUACAAGUCCUGUGAAAAAAGCAGAAUGAGCUUCACCACCUGGAGAAAAAUUACCCUGCUCAAUGAAAGAAACAUGAUACAGGUGUCAAUUAAAAAAUAAUGUAAGAUUCUAGCUCGAUUGUUUCCAAUAGGAUGUCACUUUGUGGUUCUCUGUUUAAAAGCUUUGUAAGUUGCCAGUUCAGCCACGCAUUUGGACUCUGAAAUUGGCAGGGAAUUUAUACGAGUGGUCCUGAGUUCUAUUAAUCAAAUUCCAAAUUUAUCAAUUUGUAUGCUUUGAUUCCUUUAUUUUGUUCAUGAAACUACCUCAAUCUUCUCAACAUAAAUAUCCAAGUAAAGAAGAAAGCUGUAGGUGAAACAGAAGAAGUCCUGAAAGUUGGACAGAAGUACAAGUCCUGAAAGGAAAGAACAUCCAAUCCAGAUUGAUGUAUCCUACAAAACUUUCAAAAUUAAUGGAAACAUAAGAUAUUUCCAUGACAAAGAAAAACUGAAGAAAUGUAUGACUGCAAAACUGACCCUAAAAAAAGUAAUGAAAGUUAUAAUAGAGAGAGGUAAAAGUGGCCACAACUCCAAGAAAAACACAGAAACAACCAGGCAGGACAAGUAAUUAAACAGAGGAGAAAAGCAAACAAUCAACAGCAGAGCAAUAUUACAACAAAGACAAACCAAUACAUAUCAUUGUUAAUGGUCACACCUCAUCAACCAAAAGAAAUAGAUGGGUGAAAUGGAUCAAGAAACAAUAUACAAAAAUAUGCUGUAUACAGAAAACAUGUUCAAUUGAAAAUGAAAUUCAGAGACUGAAAGUCAAAGGACAGAAAACAAUCUUCCAUGCAACAGAGGCCCAGAAAAAAGUAUGAGUAGCUAUGCUCUUUGCAUACAAUAUGAACUUCAAACCAAGAAGGACCAAAAAGAUAAAGAGCCUCACUACAUACAUGUUAAUGGAAAGUUUUUAAAAGGAUAAGAUAACAAUCAUAAAUAUGUGUGCAUCUAAUACACGAGCACCUAACAUUAUAAGGCAGUUUUUAAAAGACAUGAAAAUAAUGCAACAAAGAAUAACACAAUUGACCCAAGAGACUUCAAUAUCCCACUAUCACAAAUAGAUGAACUAGACUAAUAAUCAGCAAAGAAAUAUGAAAGUCGAACUGAAUCUAUGAACAAAUGAACUGAAUCUAUGUUUACCAAGUAUGUGUCCCAUUCUUUACCAAGAAUAUUUAUUCAGAAUAAACAUUCUUCUCACCUCUGCAUGGGAGGUACUCUAAAACAGGCCACAUAAACUAGUCGACAGAACAUGCUGAAGUAAAUGUCAAGAAACUGAAGUGACCCCGUACAUUUUACCUGACCAUAGUGCAAUACAAUUGGGAAAUAUUUGUAAAAGAAGUUGCAAAAAUUUCAUAAAUAUAUGGAAAUUAAAUAACACUCUGCCAAACAAUCAAUGGGUCACAGAUGAAAUAAAGGAAGAAACUUGAAAAUAUCUACAACACAACAAGAAUACAGAUGCAAACCUUGGUUCUCAUGGGAUUCUAAUGAAAGCAGUUCAAAGAGGGAAAUUUAUGGUACUCAAAUCUCACAUCAGGCAAUAGAAAAAACAUAAAUAAAGAUCUACUGUUUUACCUCAUACUUCCAGAAAAAAAAAUGGCAUGACAAACCCAAAGCCAAUAAAAGGGAGGAAAUUAUAAUGAUCAGAGAAAAAAGUAAUGCAGUGCAGAACAUAAAACAAUAAAAAGAUUUAAUGAAUCAAAGAGUUGGUUCAUUGAAAGAAUAAACACAAUUGAUAAGCACUUAGCCAACCCUAUCAAAAGAAGAAAAUAACCACUCAAAACCAUUCAUUGAGGAAUGAAAACAGUAAGAUAUCUACAGAUCAUGUAAAAAUUAAGAAAAACAUCAGUAUCUAUUUCAAAAACUUAUGCUUCCCUAGGUUGGAUAAUAUAGCAAUGAAUUGAUUCCUAGAUACAUAUGAAUUACCAAAGCUGACUCAAGAAGUUAUAAAAAUUCUACAUAAUGCAGUAUCUGUUAAUGAGACUGAAGAUCUAAUUAAAUUUUAUUGGGUACUGGCCGGGUGGUGCAUGCCUUUAACCCCUGAACUUGGGAGGCUGAGGUAAAAGCAUUGUUGUGAGUUUGAAACUAACCAGGGCUACAAUGUGACCUCAAGGCAACUCCAAUGCAUAAUAAGACCCUCUGCAAAACACAUUAAAGUGAAGCAAAACAAUGACAACAAAAAGGGAAUUGACCAACAUAUAGAAGUCUAGGUCUUCAUGGAUUUACUGCUGAAUUUUACAAGAAAUGUAUAGAAAAUUGAAGGCCCCUAAUCUUUUUAAAAAAAAUUUUAUUUAAAAGGAAAAACAGAAAAAACAAAACAAAACAAAGCAGUGUAAGGGUACAAGUAAUACAGAACAAUAAAAUAAAAAAGUAAGAAAUCACCAGUUAAUAGAUUACAUAUUAUCAUCUUAGAGAGAGUUGCUCAAGUCACAGUAUCAAAGCAUACAAACUGGACAUUCAAACAUUGAGACUGCAAACAGUUGUGUUCAAUGUUCCAACCAAAAACAUUAAUAUGGUCAGCUAUUUAACACCCCUAAACACACUUGCUCUUGUAUCUUUUAGAGCACUUUUUUCCUUCUCUUUUUUAUAACAAAAUUUACACAUUUGGGGUUUUAUUAUUCCUUAGUUCUUAUUACUUUUUCAGCGGGGGGGGGGAGACAAUAAAGUCAAAUAUGGCAAAACAAAGCUGUCAGUCAAAACCAAGGAUAGACAUAGCACAUGAUGUGAAAACAGAGUACAAGGUUAUCAACAAUGGUGGCCAUAAUGUCUCUUGUUUCCUUAAAAAGAAUUGUAUAUCUCAUUAGGUAUUAUAACAUUGAACAAAACAGUAGAGAACAAGACCAAUAAAACUUAAGCAUUGUAAACAUUACAGGACUUCCAAAGGAGACAAUAGUCAAACCAGAAUGUACAUCUUAGUGAAUCUUAUUGCCUUCAAAGUAGUUGCCUAUACCCUCAAACUUGAUACUAUCAUACAGAAUGGAACAGAGUCUAAUCAGUCAAAACAAGAUCAUGGGAGUAUUAAAGGACUUCAAAACAAGUUAAUAGGAAAUCAAAAAUAGUUACUAUUAUAUAUCCUGCUAAUUUUUUAAAAUUUUCACCUUAAUUAAAACAAACAUAAUAAAUAACUAAAUAUUUUUUUAAAGAAUAAGGGAGAGAUUGAGAUAAAACAGGACAUAACAAUAUAACAAUACAGGUCAAAGCAUGACUGUUUCAGCAACCUAGUGCUUCACCACCAAAUAACCCAACUUAAUAGUAGUUACCAUAGUGUCUGUCUUUUUCCUUGAAAUAUUUGGAUAAAACUUCAUAUACUAUAUCUUCAAAUAUUUCCAUAUCAAGAAGCCCAGAAUAAAGACAUUACAAUUAAUAAGUGAAAACUUUAUAAGGCUUCAAGGCCACAUAAUGGGGAAUCAUGAUUACCACAUAUUUUUAUAUAUUUGAAUCAUUAUUUACAUUAGGGAAACUAUUCGGUAUUGAAACAUGCGAGAUUGAUUUAUUUCACUUAUGAGUAUGGUCUCAAGCUGCACCCAUUUAUUGAUAAAUAUCUCAAUGUGAUCCUUCUUUAUAGCUGAAUAAUACUCCAUUGUAUAGAAAUACCACAACUUUUUUAUCCAUUCCUCAGUUGAUGGACACUUGGGUUGUUUCCAAGAUCUGGCGAUUACAAAUAGUGCUGCUAUAAACAUAGGUGCACAUAUAUCACUGUGGUAUGAUGCUUUCAGUUCUUCUGGGAAUAUGCCUAGAAGUGGAAUAGCUGGAAUAAAUGAGACUUCCAAUCCCAGCUUUUUGAGAAAUCUCCAGCCUGACCUCCACAAAGGUUGUACCAGUCUACAUUCCCACCAACAGUGUAGAAUUGAAGGCCCCUACUCUUUAAUGAAAUUGAAAGAGAAGUAGUUCUCCCUAUCUCUUUCCUGGAAGCCAGCAUUACACUGAUACUAAUAACAGAGAAAGACACAACCAGAAAAAGAAAACUAUAGGCAAGUUUUCCUAAUGAACGUAGAUACAAAAAUAUUUAAUAGAUACUAGCAAAGUGAAUGUAGCAAAUCAUCAAGAAGAUUUUAAAACCUGACCAACUUGGAUUCAUCCCAGGAAGGCAGGGAUGUUUCAGUACAUGCAAAUCAAUAAAUUUAAAUGUCCUAUCAGCACAGGCAAAAACCAAAGUCACAUGAUGAUCAUCUCAACAAAUGCACAAUAAUCUUUUGAUAAAAUAGAGCACUGAUUUGUAAUAAAAUCCUGCAGUAUGUAAUAAUAGAGAGCCUUUACCUCAAUCUGAUAAAACAAGCAAAGACAAAAAUAUACCCAGCAUCAUACUAAAUAGUGAAAAACUAAAAACUUUCACACUACAAUUAAGAACAACAAAAGCAUGAUUACUAUCAAAACUCCUAUUCAAUACAAUCUGAAAACAGGCAGAUGAAUAAGACAUGAGACAAAUAAGAAUAAUCACAUAACAUAAAGCAGGUAAACUAUCAUUAUUCACAGAUCACAUGAUAUUCUAUAUAGAUGUCAAUUACUCCACCAAAAGACUUCUAGACUUAACCAAAUUCAAUAAUGUAGCUGAAGACAAAGUUGACAAUCAAAAAUCAAGAGCAUUCCUGUACACAAUCAACUCACUAAGAGACAAGUUACAGAAACCACACCAUUUGCAAUAGCCUCCAAGAAAAUGAAAUACUUGGAAUGAACCUAACAAAGAAUGUCAAGGAGUUACAUAUUGAAAAUAUAGUACUUUGUAAAAGGAUACUGAAGAGAUUAUCAGAAAAUGGAAAGAUAUCCCUUGCCCAAACUGUGCAUUGUCUUUUCACUGUUAGUGAUUUCGUUUGAUGUACAAAUAUUUUUUUAAUAAGAUUGAGUCUCAGUGAUUGAUUCUUCGAAGUUGAUUCUUCAACUUUUGUGUUUUGUUCAUGAAGCCUCAUUAGUGUUUCUAUUGUAAUAUUUAGAUCUCCAAGCUAGUUUGACUUUAGUCUAUUUCAUGGUGAUAGGCAUAGACACAGUUUAAGUCUUCAAUAUGGGGAAAGUCAUUUUCUUCAGCAUUAUUGAAGAGGCUAUCUCUCUUCCAGUGAACAUAUUUGCCUCCUUCAUCAAAGACAAGGUAGCAGAGUGUGUUUGUAGUUGUGUCUCUAUCUCCAGUCUGUUUAGAUUAUUGGGUCUGUUUUUCUGCCAGGACUCUGGUGAUUUUGUGACAGUAGCUUUCUAGUAUUAUAGCAAGUGAAGAAUUGUGAUGCCUCCUGACUUGCCUCUGUUGCCCAGGAAUGUCUUUGGUAUUCUAGAUAUUUUCUGUUUCCAAAUGAAUUUUAGAAAAGUUUUCUCUAUAUUUGUGAGCUAUAAUAAUAUUAUUUGGAUGGGCACUGCAUUAAAUCUGUAUAAGACUUUGCACUAUGAUAUAUUUUGAGUUUUCAAUGUCCUUAAACAUAGUCUUACUGGUUUUUAUACUUACCUGAUAUAUCCUAAAAGGUAUGAUCCUAAAAGUUUCAAACUAUUGAUUUCUUCUUCUCAAGGAUAUCAGCAAUAAUAGAUACUUUUUUCCUAUUUGUUUGAGACAGGGUUUACCUAUGCAGUUCAGGCUGACUGUGGACUCACAUCUUAGUCCAGUACAUUCACACUGGUAAUCCUACCUCAACGUUCCAAGUUUGGGCUUACAGGUGUGCACCUGACACCUGAAAGAAUUCUUGGUGUUAUUUGAAAGAUGAGAAAACAGUCAUAAGAUACACAUGUAUUCAUUAACUGUCAAUUCCUUAAAGGAAAAAUGUUCAAAUUAACAUAAAACACCAUUGGAGUGUAGGGAAUCAGAAGACGUGUUCCUAUCUCUUAUGGUCUGAGGAUAACAGACUACACUACUGCAAAAACGGGAGACAUCAAAUCUAGGAUUAUGUGUCAAAUUUGAGCAACAGUAUUGUGAAUUAAGAGAGCAUUUAUGGAAGAUGAGCAAAAAGAUCAGUGGAAAAUAAUGAGAGACCUGGUGACUUUAGCCUUUCCUGACUCUAGAUCAGGCUUUAUUAUAAUGCUGAACAUCACAAAUAUUGAAAUAGUCAAAUAUUAUGUGUGUUUUUAUGUAGAAAAUAUUAAGGCUUGGCACUGUAUCCUAGCUGUGUUGUAGCUUGGCAUAAAUCAUACAAUCUUGAGCCCUACAUUUAAAUACUGCCUUGUAUUUGAGCCAGGAAAAUGGAAAAUGACUCAGUAUAUAAGUACAAUGAGAAAAGCAAAAUGAGCUGUUCCCAAAGAAAAAUAUUUAACCUGCUCAAAAACAAUAACAACAACAACAACAAAAACAGGAUACAGGUGUCAACCAAAAAUUAACAUAAGAUUCUAGCUACAUUGUUUUCAAUUGAAUGUUCUUUGUGAUUCUCCCUUUUAAAAACUCUUAACAUUCCAGUCCAGGGUCACUUGGUUAGAUUUUGAAAUGGGGGAGGUUUUGAAAUGGGAGAAGUGGUUCUGAGCACCAUUAUUUAAAUUCCUAAUUUAUCCUUUGUCUGUGUGGAUUCAUAUAUUGUUGUUCACAAACUGACCUCCAGCUCCAGAAAGGUUUACUGACACAAGCAAGAACAUAGAUUAAAUACAGUGUCACCUUAAUGAAAGAAUAAUAUUGAAAAGGAGGGAAGAAAAAAGACAAACACCAUGUGUUAUGAUAUCCACCUCUUUACCCGGCAUUAAAGAGGCUGAAACAGGAGAAUGGCCAUGUAUUCAAGGACAGACUACCCUACAUAGUGAGUGCAAGGUGAGCCAGAACUACAAAGUGGGACUAUGUCUUUAAAAACAAAAAACAAAAAUGAAAAAAUAUAAAAACCAAGGAACAAAGGAAGACUAUUAAAAGAAAACAAAAAUAUUAGAGCUGAAUGAAAGUUGACUUAACUAAAAUGGGAAUUAUGGAAUGAUGUUGCAGAGGAAAGCUGGUCAUGAAGUGGCA